GGAGUGUGUUUGGGGAUAGUGACCCCGGGGGGUAGGAGAGUGUACCUGGGGAGAGUGGUGGUGAGGGUAGGAGAGUGGCUCUGGGGAUAGUGGCCCCGGGGGCAGGAGAAUGUACCUAGGGCUUUGGCCCCGGGGGCAGGAGAGGGGCCCUGGGGACGGUGGCCCUGAGGGUAGGAGAGGGGCCCUGGGACGGUGGCCCUGAGGGUAGGAGAGGGGCUUUGCUGAGGAGCUGGAAGAUCCAGGCAAGAAGCCAGACUGUGACAGUUCUCCUGUGUCUGCUUACUUAAGUGAAAUUGGAAGGAUCUUUUGGAAAUUCCCUGAAGGCUCAACAGCAUGCGAACAUGACAUAUCCCUGUGUUGUCAGCAAGCCUCACUGGUUUGGAAGGAGUGGAGAUGAGCUGCCAGUUGCUGUUUCCCAUCUCGUGGGUUUGAAGAGCUGUUUCUCACUGACACUGGCCUGAACACUCAUUCCUGGGGUAACCACAACAGGAUUUUCCAGAGCAAAGGCCACUAAAACACUGUCUUGCAGUGCUUGGGGAAAGCUUCAGAAUGGAAACUCGGAUGGAGUCUGAUACUCCAUCUGUUUUAGUAACAGUGUCUUGAGCAGAGAAGUAAAAUGCAUGCAAUUAAUAAAUUUAAAUAUACUGGUAUUUUUUUCUUGCUU
rnacentral:lncRNA from 1 species